rnacentral:rRNA from 1 species
UUCGCAGGCGGCGUAUCAAGUCAGUGGUGAAAUCCCUCGGCUCAACCGAGGAACUGCCAUUGAUACUGGUAUGCUAGAGUAUAGUUGGCGUAGGCGGAAUGUAUCAUGUAGCGGUGAAAUGCUUAGAUAUGAUACAGAACACCGAUCGCGAAGGCAGCUUACGAAACUAUAACUGACGCUCAGGAACGAAAGCGUGGGGAGCGAACAGGAUUAGAUACCCUGGUAGUCC